GCCGGGGUACCGAAGCGGUCAAACGGAACUGUCUGUAAAACAGUCGGCAUUAGCCUACAUAGGUUCGAAUCCUAUCCCCGGCACCA
rnacentral:tRNA from 1 species